rnacentral:lncRNA from 1 species
CAGCGAGAGAAGCAGGAAGGGAAAGGCUAAAGAAAGGCCAAAAUCUCAGGGCUAAAUGCUAUCCUUUCACAUCCCUCAAAGGAAAUAUAGAAUCAGAAAUAACUAUUCAGCAAACACAAAGUACUAUUUAAGAUGCAUUUGUUUCAUGUAUCGCCAAGAUAGAAAAAAGAACUGUCCUUUAAGCCAUGUCACGUCAUCUAAUAUAGGAUAUAUCCCAACCAGAAAGAAAUUACAAAUUGGAGAGAAAAACAAAUCGAGUCUUACAAUUCCAUAGUAAUGAUAGUAACAAGAGCUAAAAUUUGCCUUUAGUUACAAUGUUUCAGGCACUGUUUAAGCUCUUUAUUUGUAGCCUCUCAUUUGAUCCUCUCAAGAGCCUCAUGAAGGCAGAUAGUAUUAGUACUCUUAUCCCCAUUUUACAGAAGGAAAUGGAAGUAGAGUGAGACAGUAAUUUUCCCAAGGCCAUGUAAGUCUUAGUAGAGCCAAUCACUGGAGUCUAAAUCCCUACUCUUGCACCAUUGUAGCUCUCUUGGAAGUUACAGAAAACAUGAAGCAGCAGGAAAAAGUCACCUGUGAUCACACGAUUAAAAACAACAUCACAGAUUUGACACUGUUCCCUCCAGUAAUAAAAAUAACAAUACAUUUUCUGUGAGAUUUUCAAUGAUUAGUAUUUGUGAAGGCAAUAAUUUAUAUGGGGACCAAAUGGAACAAUUAAUAAAUACCACCCUGAAAUUGCUGUGCAACACUUUCUAAUAAACCUACAGAGUCUUCUGAACUAGAAAAUUUGUGCUGGGUGUGCCUGCCAGCCAACUCCUUGCUUUGUUCCUUACUGGAUUAAUCCAAGCCUUCCAAUGAUUUGCCCCAUCUCCAUGGCUUAUGAAAGUCCCCAAGAAAUAUGUUUCUUAUGUCAAUACCAAGUGCUUCUUGGACACUGUAACAUGAUGCUGCUAGAUUCUUGCCGAAAGUGGUCACAGACCCCUUGAGACACCAUAUGGCAAGCAACUAGAUGUCAUCAUAAAAGCCUGUCUCAGAUUUCUGGGCAGCCAGCAGCCUCAGAGGACACAGCUCCUCCAAAGCCUUGGCGUUCUUGCAAUACCACUAACUGGCUGGAAUGAGUAUCUCCAGGUCAGACAGCCCAUCCCAGAGGGGUGUUUGACACUUGAGAAUGCAGGUGAGGCCUAAAAGCUUGUGCAUAACAAAGCUGAAGAUUUUGCCUGUGCCUGUGACAUCAGCUGUUCAUGCAUCCAGUGAGGCCAGAAAAUGGAAUGCAGAUUAGCUAUGUUCUACUGGAACAAAUUGAAAGCAUUAUGCUGCAAUAUAGUUCCGCUUAAAGCACGCAGAAGGGAAAAGUGGGGUGCCUUACACUGUCAGGGCCUCCAAAGGCCCCACAUGUGAUUGGGAAUGGUUUUGUAUGGAAAUAAAUUUGGCAGUAUACGUUUUUUCAAACUAGGCAGUGGGUGAGAGAGACUUUGCUGUUUCGCAAAGGCUUGGGAGUUUUUUGAGUUUUCAUUUUAAAAAUAGCAAAAAAAUCAUUUUGUUAUGAAGAAAUCAUUUUCUGCAGUGACAAUUCAUGUCUGAAAAACUUUUUUAGACUAAAACUUGGUUUCUCUCAAAGAAGAGUUUCUCCCACUGAAAGAGGUGAAUAUAUUCUUGUGACUUUAUGAGAAGGUUUUUUCCCUUAAAGAGGUUAAUAGAGCUCUGAAAUUUGAAAAACAUUUGUGUAGUACAUAAACAAUUUUGUUUUUGUCUUUUGUCUUUUUUUAGGGCCACACCUGAGGCAUAUGGAGGUUCCCAGGCUAGGGGUCGAAUCGGAGCUAUCGCUGCCGGCCUAUGCCACAGCCACAGCAAUGCCAGAUCCAAGCCACAUUUGUGACCUACACCACAGCUCACAGCACCACCGGAUCCUCAACCCACUGAGCAAAGCAAGGGAUCGAACCCACAACCUCAUGGUUCCUAGUCAGAUCAUUUCUGCUGCGCCACAAUGGGAACUCCUUUUUUCUUUUCCUUUCUUUCUUUCUUUUUUUUUUUCAACAUGAACAAGUUUUUAAAAUUACUACACCUCACUAUAAUUUGGGAUCAAACUGUAAUUUAGGAUCCCUCUUUUACCUCCAUUUCUCUGUUAAAAGGCUUCCUCUCACUCUGAAAUGAGAUGUAAGAUCAGGUGAAGUUAAUAAGCUGUAGGUCUCUCAGCGGAAAGAUAUGAACUUAAUGGAGGAUAGUAGUUGUUUUAGGCAUAAGUAGGAAUGCAAUGCAUUCUAUAGAUAAGGAAAAAAAAAUCCAUUCUUACCCAUGAGCUUUGCAGGGGCCAGGGUGAGACAAUGGAACAGGGGCUCAGAGCCAGCUGGUCUCCUCCUUGGGCUCUUCUGCAGGGGUGGAUCAUCCUGGGCGUGGUCAGCACUGGACAUCUAGGCAGGAACCGAAGGGGGAUUUCUAUUUUGGUCAGAUAAGCAAAGCAAACCUCUAUGUAGAGAGCAGUUACAUGCAAGUGAAAGUACAUAUAAAAGUACCUACAUGGUGCUUGGCACAAAGCAGACAACCCUCAGGUGUUUGUUCAUUCUGAAUCUUUAAUUCCAGUUCUGGAGCUCUUAUGGAUGCAGAUUUGGCUGGAUAAAACUGAUAACUAAUAUUCUGGACAAGCUUUUGUCUUAUACUCUGCCUACCUUGGGUAGAGACCAAUGAACAUACAUUUGACAAGCCCACAGUGGAUCUCUACCAUAUGCCAGACACCUGUGCCAGGUGACUUCACAGACACUACUCCAGCCCUUCCCGGGUCCUCCAGUGUCCUAGGUUCAACCUGUCCAUGAAAACCCAAAUAAAUAAUGGUCCCAUCUCAUAUUACUCCAGAAGCCCAAAGCCCUAAGUUUCUGGCAUGAAGCUCCCACUCUUCCUAUUAGUUUUCUGUCCAGUUCACUUUAUGCCAUAAUGUGGAUACUUCUUAUCCAUCAUUCCCCAAAGAAGACUAUCUAGCGCUCAUUUGCUCUUACAAUGAAUUCAGCUGCUUCUCUAGAAAACUACCUCUGCAGCAGGAUUCUUACCUCCAAACGAUAAGCAUGUGUUUCCAUUCCUUACUCUACUUUUAUUUCCUAAUCCCAAAGAAAUCACCUUGCCUAUGAGAGACCCCUCUCAGGCCAGCCCUCUUACUGCUGACUUGUAUCUAAAUUCAGAAUGCUGGAUAUGCAGAUUUAUUCUGAUACCUGUUAGUGCCCAAAUAGAAGUUAAGGAUGAUCAGAAAAGAGCAAGUUACCUUACACAUGCAAUUCUACAAAGUCUUUCUCUAUUAUAAGGCCCUAUCUCAAUUAUUUCAUUUCAGAAAACAGAGUACUAUUGAGGUAAACACUCUAUCAGUGCUAAUUAUGGCUGGCUCCCCAGAGAGUCACCUGAUGAACUUGAAAACAAAGGAGGAAUAUAAACAUUCAUUCAGUCAUUAUUCCUUUAGAUGUGACCACACAGCUGUGGUUAAACGUUCUUGUAAGUAAGUCUUUUUUAAAAUUACUUUUAAAAGCAGUAUAGUAAAUGGUUAAAUUUGGGCAAUGAGGGAAAUAUAUACCUACAGAAGGAAUGAAAAACAACAAAGAAGCACCAUCCUGUAGUUACCUGCUGGUGUGCCUACAGCUUGCUUCAGGACUGUCUUCAGCUGCAUGUAACAGAAGCCUAGCUAAAAUGGCUUAAUCAAAAAAAGGUUGAAUUCUUCUCACGUAGCAACAAGUUUGGAUAGCAGCAGUCCAAAUCUGGUAGCGCCAUGCCACAGUCCCAGUAGGAACACAAGUUCCGUUUCACUCUCACUCCACCAUCCUCACUGUGUAUUUCAGUCCUGGCAAUUACAAGACGACAGCUCCACUUUCUAGCUUCAGGUCCACAUUCCAGGCAGAAAUGAAAGGAUUAGGAUCUGAAGGCAAGUCCAAAGAAAUCCAUGCAAGCUGAAUAACCCUUUUCUGAAGAAUUUUUCCUGAAGCCCCUUCUAAAACAGGAGGGAAGGCGGCAGGGCAUAACCUUUCAAAAAAGCGCCAUAUGAAGUUCCCCGUAGUGGCUCAGCAGAACCGAAUCUGACUAGCAUCCACAAGGACGCAGGUUUCAUAUCUGGCUUCGCUCAGUGGGUUACGGAUCCGGCGUUGCAGUGAGCUGUGGUGUAGGUUGCAGAUGCUCCUUGGACGGGGACACACACACACACACACACGGGGUGGGGGGUACAUAGCAAAAUUCCCUGGUGGCACACCUUGGACGGGGACACACACACACACACACACACACACACACACACACACACACACACGGGGAGGGGGGGGGUACAUAGCAAAAUUCCCUGGUGGCACAGCAGGUUAAGGAUCCAGCAUUGUCACUGCUGCCGCUCAAGUAGCUGCUGUGGUGUAGGGUCAGUCCCUGUCGCGAGAAUUUCCACGUGCUA